rnacentral:lncRNA from 10 species
CAUGUGACAUGCCUGCUUCCCCUUUGCCUUCCACCGCAAUUGUAAGGUUCCCGAGGCCCUUGCCAGAAACCAAGCAGGUGUUGGCGCCAUGCUUGUACAGCCUGCAGAACCGCUCCCACAGAACAUGGAUGACUGCCAUCACACUGUUUAUGAUGAGUAUUGCACUUGACUGGUCAUUUGUCAUCCUUAUAAUGUGGAGAGUGCCUUGGACUGACAAACUGAAAUACAUUUUGAUUAGGCAACAUGAGCAGAAGGAGUGUGGGGAGAGGACUGUAUAAAUCUGUUUUACUCAACCUUGAAGAAAUGUUAAGUGUUAAUUCCCUGCGUCAAAUAAAGUACACCAAGUAUAUAUGCAGCGUUCCUGAGAGCUUCCUAAUGAACUGAAAAAACAAACAAUCUGAGGUGGGAAGAAGUAUAUUUCAUCAACCCCCUGAGCAGCAAUGAUUUGCCUCAGCUUGUCAUACAUACUUGAUUCUGAUUAAAAUAAGGCAAAUGAACUGGUUUAAUCUUUCUUGAUAAAGAAAUUGCAUUUGUCAUUACUAGAAUUUC